rnacentral:rRNA from 1 species
AUAGGUUAUGUGCCCUUUAUUCUGGGAUAGCCACUGGAAACGGUGAUUAAUACUGGAUACUCCCUACGGGGGAAAGUUUUUCGCUAAAGGAUCAGCCUAUGUCCUAUCAGCUUGUUGGUGAGGUAAUGGCUCACCAAGGCUAUGACGGGUAUCCGGCCUGAGAGGGUGAUCGGACACACUGGAACUGAGACACGGUCCAGACUCCUACGGGAGGCAGCAGUAGGGAAUAUUGCUCAAUGGGGGAAACCCUGAAGCAGCAACGCCGCGUGGAGGAUGAAGGUUUUAGGAUUGUAAACUCCUUUUGUUAGAGAAGAUUAUGACGGUAUCUAACGAAUAAGCACCGGCUAACUCCGUGCCAGCAGCCGCGGUAAUACGGAGGGUGCAAGCGUUACUCGGAAUCACUGGGCGUAAAGAGUGCGUAGGCGGGGUAAUAAGUCAGAUGUGAAAUCCUGUAGCUUAACUACAGAACUGCAUUUGAAACUGUUACUCUGGAGUGUGGAAGAGGUAGGUGGAAUUCUUGGUGUAGGGGUAAAAUCCGUAGAGAUCAAGAGGAAUACUCAUUGCGAAGGCGACCUGCUGGAACAUUACUGACGCUGAUGCACGAAAGCGUGGGGAGCAA